ACUGAUCUGCACUCAACCAGUCUGUGGGGAUCCGCGGAGCAAGCAUGGUUAAGUACGGUGAAUGUACAUUUUUGUGCGCGCUAUUAUCAGUUGUAUACACACAAUCCCAGACAACUGGAAAUUACGUUAUUUUGGCGCCAAAAUAUCUACGAGCCAAACAUCCUUACCAGCUGUCUAUUGCUACACAUGACUUCAAUGGAUUUACCAAACUGCACCUGGCCAUCGAUGGUUACACGGAAAACGACGAGGUCGCCAACGUUAUUAAAGAAGUGCAUCUGAAAAGAAGUCAAACUCAAUUGGUCGAAAUUGAUACAACAACUUUGCCUCCAGGUUCAUUCUCGUUGAAUAUUCUAUCAGGAUCGGGCGGCGAAGUGAACCUCACAAUCCCUCUCACAGUACUUGACAAAGCAUACACCGUACUAAUUCAAACGAAUAAACCUAUCUACAAACCUGGCAAUGUAAUAAAGUUUCGUGUCCUGCUUCUAGAUGAAGCAACGAAGCCAGUGCACAAACCUAAAGCUAUUCACGUUACGCUGGCAGACCCCGAUGGAAACGAAAUCAAGGUGUGGCCGUAUGCAAUGCUUCAAAAUGGAGUUUUUCAAUCUCAGUUGGAAAUUUCCAACGAGCCCAAUCUUGGCAACUGGUCGAUCACAGCCAAUGCCUAUGGGAAAGAUCACACCUUUUCGUUUCUAGUCGAUGACUACAAGUUACCAAAGUAUGAACUCAAGGUAAGUACGCCACAACCGGCAACUGUAUCGGACAGAGAGUUCAGCGUGGAUGUCGAAGCGAGGUACAUUUUUGGCAGACCUGUGAAAGGAAACGCCACCAUUACAGUCAACGGACCAAAAAAGCAAUCAAAAACUGCAAAGAUAAACGGAAAAAUUAGAUUAUCUUUUAGCAUGAUAGAUUUACUACACCAAACGUCGAUAGUGGAUGAAAUUAUUCCUGUAGAAGUGAUUGUUGUAAUUCACGAUCAAUACACAAGAGAGAACAUCAAAGCAACAAAUAUGUUUCGCAUCUUCAACCAAUCGUACCGACUGUCUCUCAAAAAGUCCUCGAAGUAUUUCAUUCCUGGACACCCGUAUCGUUGCAUUGUAGAGAUCAAAGAUCAAAAUGGAAGACGUCUAACGUCCAUUGAAAAUCAUCAAGCCCUUGUGAAUGUAGUCUACUCCGGACCAAAUGGCUAUCACAACACUAGCGAAAUGCGCUUGAACCCAGAGUCAGAUGGAACUGUACCAUUGACUUUGGAAGUUCCUGAACAAGUCACACAUAUUGAACUUAACAUUUCUUACCGCGAUACAAAUGAGCAUUUUGAACUGCAGAGAAUCCAUUUCAGUACCACCGGACAGAUUCAGGCAUCAAUAAUUACAGAGCAAUUAACCCUCAACACACCAAUCAUGGUUCAGGUGCAGUCAUCCAUCGCUUUGAAUCAUCUGACGUAUCAAAUUAUUGCAAAGGGGAAAAUCCAAACCGUUCAGCAAAUGCGGUUCGAUGACACUGAUAGCGUUCAGUUCAAUAUCACUGCGACGCCGGAAAUGAUUCCCAACGCAAAGGUAUUUGUGUUCAGCAUGCACAAUGGUCUGAUAUUGAAGGACACCGUACCUCUGAUGAUAAGCAGUUUGCCAAACUGGGUGAAUGUAACGUUACCUAACGAAAAGGUUCAACCUGGCAGUAGGAUUCAGCUGGAAGUCGAAUCUACACCAAACUCGCUCGUUGGAUUGUUGGCAGUGGAUAGGGGAGCUUGGCUUUUAGGCGAUGGAAAUCAGAUCACGAAACAGAGCGUGCUGGAUGAGAUUGGCACUUUCUCAGAUGAAAUCGAAGGUGAUAAUGAUGAUAUAUCAGAAAUGGAGUUGAUUACCAAUGGAAUUAUUCCAACAGCACUGACGGCACGAUUCGGAAAUUUUGUGCCAGAUGAAGAGGAUGCCUAUAUACCACCUCGGAAGGAAUUCCCAGAAUCAUGGCUGUGGUUGGAUUUGCAGAAAACAGGUAUGGAUGGUAAACUCCAUAUCGCCGAUAUCGUACCAGAUUCCAUCACCAAUUGGGAAAUUACAGCAUUUUCCAUUAGUCCAGAACAUGGCCUUGGCGUACAGGAUGAACCCGUUGCACUCGCCGUUUCAAAACCGUUCUUCAUCACGAUCAACGUACCAAAUUCUAUCAAAAAGAGCGAAGUUGCCAUCGUUAAAGUGGCUAUAUUCAGCGUACUAAACGAUACCUCAUAUGUGGGAGUCACACUGAAAAACAGUCGACAAGAAUUCGAGUUCGUGGAUAAUCGAGGACGAAAAGAUGUCAGCUACCAGGCCAAAAAUGUUAUAGUCACAGCAAACUCAGCUACCACCGUAUUGUUCAAGAUCAAACCGAAGAAAAUGGGAAACAUUGUGAUCAAAGUAAUUGCAGAAACCACGGAGGCGUCUGAUUCUACAGAGCAAUUGCUGCGUGUAACUCCUGAAAGUUUGCCUUACUCAAUAACGGAGAAACGCCUCAUACAGCUACAAAACAAUAGACAAUCUUUCGAGCUGGAGUUGAAAAUUCCAAGGCAUAUUGAUGUGAACUCGGAAGAGAUUCACUUUUCGGUACAAGGGAAUCUACUAGGAGAUUCAGUUGACGGAUUGGACGAAAUGAUACGGAUGCCUACAGGGAGUGGCGAGCAAAAUGUACUCAAAAUGGUUCCAAAUUUAGUGUUGUUGGAUUACAUGGUUGGCGUAGGAAAAGUGAAUGUACCUUUGAGAAACCGCGCGAUAAAAUUUUUAGGCAUGGGCUAUCAAAACCAACUCAAGUUUAAACGCAACGAUGGAUCAUUUAGUAUGUUUGGACAGCAAGACAAUGCUGGGAGUGUAUUUCUAACUGCUUUGGUGGCGAAGACUUUGCAUCAAGCUUCUCAGUUUAUUACAGUGGAUGAAAAGGUCAUUGAAAACGCAUAUGAUUGGCUACGGCAGCAGCAAAAGAUGGAUGGGAGUUUUACCGAACUUGGAAAUAUACCAGAAUAUGGAUUACAGCGGAAGCAUACGGAGAAAUCUGUCCUGACAGCUUAUACCUUGGUAGCUUUUCUAGAAAACGAUCGAAUUUCUGAGAAACAUAAAUCUAUAAUCGACAAAGGAACGCAAUACCUUGUCUCUAAAAUACAAGGCUUGGAAUCCAGCUAUGCUCUUGCAUUAACUGCUUAUGCACUACAACUUGCUCAAUACAAACAGGAAUAUGCGUUUUCAAAGCUGUUAGAAAAUUCGCAAAGUAACAAUGGAUUUCGCUGGUGGAAUGACGAUAACACUGCCGAAGCUACAGCGUAUGCAUUGCUGUGUUAUAUCCAACGGGGCGAUUUCGUAGAUCCCUUACCAAUUUUGAGGUGGCUGAUCAGUAAGCGACAUUUGUUUGGACCCGACAACAUCGAAACCACGUUCAUUGGACUUCAAGCCAUUGCAGAACAUAGCAAGAGAAUUUCCCCCAAUAGAAACAAUUACGAAGUAUCCAUAUCUCGAGAGUCGAACCAAUUAGUCACGCUCAACAUCAAUCCAGAAACCUCCUUAACGGUACAAAACGUAUCUCUUCCAUCGAACGUUAGAAAGGUUAGAGUUAUGGUGAACGGAACUGGCACGGGAACGUUCAGCAUCCAUUAUCGAUACAAGACAAACAUUUUGAACCUUCGGCCGCGCUUCGAUGUUAAAGUGCAAACUCUGGACACAACCACGAGUCACUAUCUCGAUCUCAAAAUCUGCGCCAAAUUCAAGCCCAGUGAAGCAUAUGAGAUAUCUAAGCUAGCACUGAUGGAAAUCACCUUUCCCAGCGGAUAUAUCGCCCUUGACGAAUCGGUAGAAGAACUUGAAAAAAUGGACACAAUUAGGUUUUUAAAUUCAAUUACAGAAAAUCACAACGAAGUACGACGAUGCAUCCCUAUGGUUAUAUUUUGAGUCACUUCCAGAACACUUCCUAUGUAUACCAGUGACCAGUUUUCGACAGAGCGAUGUGCUACAACAAAUCCCCGGCAGCGUGAGGGUUUACGAUUUUUUCGAUGAUUCUCGAGUGGCGAUAACACAUUUUGAUGGCAAGCAGCUUGACAAAUGUGAGAUCUGUGACAACGAUUGUCUUCCUGAAUGUGGAAAUUGAACAUUUGGUUAUGAAAUGGUAAAUAAACUUGAAAUGCAAA